AAAACCAUACAAUGUUUUUAUUCAGGUUGAAAACAUCCAGCCAGGAUAUUCCAAAGUGAACUACGUGUUUCUAACUAAGUGCUACAAAGACCUGGGUCAGAGAGAAAAGGCCAGGAAGAUGUGUGAAGCUGCGUGUUCCAUGAAUGCUGUGUCUAAAGAGGAUGAAGAUUCCCAGAAGGAGCUGGACUUGCUCGGCCCCGCGCUCGGGAUGUGACCACAGCGUGCUCAUGCUCCUGGGUGGGUGUGUGUGUGUGUGUGUGUGUGUGUGUGUGUGUGUGUGUGUGUGUGUGUGUGUGUGU